GUUACACCACUGAAUUAUCAUGAUUAACUAUUAAUGAGAUACUUAUUUGGCAAGCAACAUUUUAUUUCGGCAAUAAAGGUGGUGUCUUGAUUUUUGUGUCGUUUGAUUGAUGUAUCCUCGGGAAGUAAAACCACAAUAUUAUGGUUGAGAAGUUGUGACGUAAACAAUUCUAUUAAUACUCUCAGGUAAUACAUUGACUUGUUUACACUAUUUAUAUUGAUAAACUUUAAAGAUCAAUAAAUAUAGAUUUAGUUGAUCAUGCAUGGUCACUCACUCAGUGUUUCUACUUGUUGUGAAAUAUCAAUUUAAAACAAAACGGGCCAUGUUUUUAGUUGGGCGUUUAGUGACGAUUUGAACUGAAGCUUCAGACAUUUCUGAAUAAUGGCUCACUGUGCUCCGACCGAAGACAAUGUUAAACAAAUACAAGCAGAUAACAAGGACAAUGGAAAAGAGGAGACUAGUACUAUCCGAACUCAGACUGAAAGACCUCGGCCAACACGAGUUAUAUCCGUCAAGAAGCAAUCAUUGAAUCAUAAGGGAUACAAGGACCUUGAACACUGGUUGACAGACCCAACUAACAUAUACAUCGGCAGAAAUAUGACUCAUUAUGUCCCUGGAGCUGUGGGUAGCAAGUGGCAAAACCCAUUCCAGGCAAAAAAACAUGGGAGGGACAAGUGUAUAGAUAUGUAUAGGGAAUAUAUAAUGACAGAUACAAAAUUAUACGAUGGAAAAACUUUAUUAGACUCAAUAGAAGAACUACGAAGUAAGACACUAGGGUGCUGGUGUAAUCCUGAACCUUGUCAUGGCGAUGUUCUCGUACAGAUGCUAAUGAGAUCGAAAAAGAGUUGAUAUCAAA